CCCAUCCAGGACGAUGAGCUCAUCUCCUACCUGCUGCAUGGGCUGGAUAUGGACUACCAGCCUCUCGUCUCCGCCCUCGAUGGCCGUGUCACGCCAGUCUCCCUCGACGAGCUGUACUCCAUGCUGAGCAACUUUGAUC
rfam:Triticum aestivum genome assembly, contig: Triticum_aestivum_CS42_TGACv1_scaffold_249936_3DL